AAGCUUUAAUUGUGUGAUCUUUUUAUUGUGCCUAUCGUGACUCAGCAUCUCCGCUAUAUGAUGCCAGCAUAAAUGUUUUAAGAAGUUUUCAGUUGCUGAGAAUGAAAUAUUGUUGACAGAACUCAACAACGCCUAACAAAGAUGGACCGGGGGGUACUUGGGUGCUCAAACUCUUUCCUUUAUAGCAAGAGCAAGGAGACUGCACCCAAAUUCCAUUACUAACUGUGGAAGGACAACAAAAUUAUUAUUGUAAGGUUAAAGUUGCCUUCAAGGAAACUAUAUUAUGCAAUAAAAACUCUAUUGCACUCCAUGUUAAAAAAAAGGUCAAGUGGAGAGACUGUGCCAUCUAAUUCAAGGAGGAGUUCCAGAAAGUACUAAUGUCAUGACAGAUGAACUCAUACAGUAUUGUCCAGUAAAGGUAGCACAUUAUAAACAUUGUGGUAGGAAGAAGAGAUAUCUCUAAGUUCUUUAUCUGUGAAGCUCAUGUGGAAAAUAAAAAGAAACCAUAAUGUACAUAAUUUACAGAUAUCAAAGUAACAUUGCUGACCCAGGAUUGUUCAUGGAACAUGGAAAAAAUAAAUAAAUCAUUCAAAUUCAUAACAGUUCACAUUUAAUGGUAUGAAUGAUAGAUGUUGA